GACGAACGCUGGCGGCGUGCUUAACACAUGCAAGUCGACAUGAGUGGCGAACGGGUGAGUAAUACGUCGGUAACCUGCCCUCUUUUUUGGGUUAAGCCUUGGAAACGGGGUCUAAUACCGAAUUAAGGGGGCUGGGCUCGCGGCUUAUUUGCUUGGUGGUGGGGUGAUGACCUACCAAGGCGUUGACGGGUUGCCGGCCUGAGAGGGUAACCGGGCACAUUGGGACGGUGCAGCGGCCCAGGCUCGUACGGAGGGGAGAAGUGGGGGAUAUUGGAGAAAGGGCGAAAGCGUGAUGCAGCGACGCCGCGUAGGGUAUGAAGGCUUUCGGGUUGUAAACCUCUUGCGGUAUCGAAGGGGUAGGUGGAGAAGAAGCACCGGCUAACUACGUGCCAGCAGCCGCGGUAAUAC
rnacentral:rRNA from 1 species